UACGAAGGGGACUAGCGUUGUUCGGAAUUACUGGGCGUAAAGCGCACGUAGGCGGCUUUCUAAGUCGGGGGUGAAAUCCUGGAGCUCAACUCCAGAACUGCCUUCGAUACUGGAGAGCUCGAGUCCGGGAGAGGUGAGUGGAACUGCGAGUGUAGAGGUGAAAUUCGUAGAUAUUCGCAAGAACACCAGUGGCGAAGGCGGCUCACUGGCCCGGUACUGACGCUGAGGUGCGAAAGCGUGGGGAGCAAACAGG
rnacentral:rRNA from 1 species